rnacentral:tRNA from 1 species
UACCUCAGUCGGUUAGAGCGUGGUGCUGAUAACACCAAGGUCGUGGGUUCAAUCCCCAU